rnacentral:rRNA from 1 species
AUAACCGUGCUAAGGUAGCAUAAUCAUUUGCUUUUUAAAUAAAAGCUAGAAUAAAAGUGCUGACGAUAGACACCUUACUUAACCUUAAUUAUAAAAAUUAACCAUGCAGUAAAAAUGCUCCAUUAUCCUAGAAGGACGACAAGACCCUAUAAAACUUUAUUAUCUCUCCUUACCAUAUAUCUCUACACCUAAGGUACAUAAUUAAGCUGGGGCGGCAUAUCCAUCUCGGAAACCCCAAUAACACAUUUAGUGACUACUUAGAACAUUAAUUAAUAGCAAGAUCAAGUUACUUUAGGGAUAACAGCAUAAUUACUCUAAAGAGCUCCUAUCGAUGGAGUAGAUUAUGACCUCG